GCUGGAUCGAUGAUGUUAUUAAUUACUGCGUUUUCUAUCUGCAAGCUUCUAAAGAAGAAGUGGAGAUAACUUUGUAUAUGCUGAGAUCCCAU